AGAAACUUAGGAUAAGCAGACCAAAAACCUUCAAAGUUUUAAGUAGGAGUUAAACUCUCUUAGUUUCUG
rnacentral:tRNA from 1 species